CAACACGUCAUUCAGCUCCUCCACCACGUCCUCCGCUCUAUAUACACAUUAAAUCUAGAUCUGCAGCGCACACACACACACACACACACACACACACACACACACACACACACACACACACACACACACACACACACACACACACACACACUCUGGAAUGAGGACAUCUGAGGUAACCUUCACAAUUUACAUUUCAAGUAGUCAGCUGCAGCUAAAGUAAAUGUAUAGCAGUGAUGAAAACAACAGACGCAGCCAUUAGCAAAGGUCACAAAGGUCACAAAGGUCACAAAGGUCAGUG